rnacentral:rRNA from 1 species
AACGCGAAGAACCUUACCUGGGUUUGACAUGGAUCGGGAGUGCUCAGAGAUGGGUGUGCCUCUUUUGGGGUCGGUUCACAGGUGGUGCAUGGCUGUCGUCAGCUCGUGUCGUGAGAUGUUGGGUUAAGUCCCGCAACGAGCGCACCCUUGUUCACUGUUGCCAGCACGUUAUGGUGGGGACUCAGUGGAGACUGCCGGGGUCAACUCGGAGGAAGGUGGGGAUGACGUCAAGUCAUCAUGCCCCUUAUGUCCAGGGCUUCACGCAUGCUACAAUGGCUGGUACAGAGAGUGGCGAGCCUGUGAGGGUGAGCGAAUCUCGGAAAGCCGGUCUCAGUUCGGAUUGGGGUCUGCAACUCGACCUCAUGAAGUCGGAGUCGCUAGUAAUCGCAGAUCAGCAACGCUGC